UAGGGAAUCUUCGGCAAUGGACGAAAGUCUGACCGAGCAACGCCGCGUGAGUGAAGAAGGUUUUCGGAUCGUAAAACUCUGUUGUUAGAGAAGAACAAGGACGUUAGUAACUGAACGUCCCCUGACGGUAUCUAACCAGAAAGCCAUGGCUAACUACGUGCCAGCAGCCGCGGUAAUACGUAGGUGGCAAGCGUUGUCCGGAUUUAUUGGGCGUAAAGCGAGCGCAGGCGGUUUCUUAAGUCUGAUGUGAAAGCCCCCGGCUCAACCGGGGAGGGUCAUUGGAAACUGGGAGACUUGAGUGCAGAAGAGGAGAGUGGAAUUCCAUGUGUAGCGGUGAAAUGCGUAGAUAUAUGGAGGAACACCAGUGGCGAAGGCGGCUCUCUGGUCUGUAACUGACGCUGAGGCUCGAAAGCGUGGGGAGCAAACA
rnacentral:rRNA from 1 species